rnacentral:rRNA from 1 species
UGCGUAGGCGGCCUUUUAAGUCAGUGGUGAAAUCCUGCGGCUCAACCGUAGAACUGCCAUUGAAACUGAAAGGCUUGAGUACACCAGAGGUAAGCGGAAUGUGUAGUGUAGCGGUGAAAUGCUUAGAUAUUACACAGAACACCAAUUGCGAAGGCAGCUUACUAUAGUGUUACUGACGCUGAUGCACGAAAGCGUGGGGAGCGAACAGGAUUAGAUACCCUGGUAGUCC